GCACUGGCCUGGGGUGUAGUUCUCUGCGUGAAGCCAUGAACACUAUGGGAGAGUUGCUAGAUACCCAAACUGAGCUUGGGGAGAAGUCUGCAACCUAUGACGUCAGAAAAGACGGGACACAGUCUGUGAGAAGUAACGGCAGAGAAAGAAGACGCAUCAGAGCACAUUUCGUGACCAGGCGCGGACAGAAGGAAGUUGGAGCCAUGUGUCAUGUCUUGUCUAAGAGGACUUUCCCGAAGUACAUUGAGACUCACGUGACGCAUGGGUAUGGACCUGGUCCUCAGGGACCUAGAGGGUGUUGGAGCCGGCAGCCUAAGCUGAGGUAUGGUGAAGGGCCCAGCAGGGAAGAUUCCAAACAAUCUGCACAGGAGUUACUUUUACCCAUUUCCCAGGAGCAGAGAGCCUGAGGCCACCGCACAAGCACCACAGCCCUUUGCCUUCCUUUUCCCCUUGGCCCCU
rnacentral:lncRNA from 1 species